AUGGGAGCACGGCACGAGGGGCAUGUGGCACAGGUCCGGAGCCAGGCGUCGACGCAUGCGACAUGGAAGCGGUGGCCGCACCGUGGGAGCACGCGCAGGGCCUCCCCCUCCGUGUACUCCGCCAGGCAGAUCGCACACUCUAACGACGAGCAUGUCGCCGGCGUCGGAGAAGGCCCGUUGGCGACGAAGGAGACGGUUGGGAGCGCGUGGAUGACUUUCUUCUUGAGGCCCUUCGGUGGAGGAGGAGCGUGA
rnacentral:rRNA from 1 species